GAUUUUACUCGCACCCACCUAUCUUCCCGAACCCCUCUCACAACUCCUCAUCUCACACGCUAGAUCUCCAUCCAACUUCUCCUCUCACGCCCUCUCCUUCUAACCCCUCUCCGGCAAACCCCUCUCCCCAAACCUCUCCUCGGAACUCCUCUCCGUCAAGACCGCGGGCAAAAUUUCCUCACCUUAUUCCUUCACUUCUUCGUCAAAUAGCAAAUGCCCUAAUCUCUUCGCCUCCGUCGCCUCAUUCACGCUUCCUUCACACUGCCAGAUCUCUUUAACCCCACCUUCGUCAAGCGGCAGAUCUCGGCGCUGAAGCGAUCGACCAUGGUAGAUCGACCCAUCUCUUUGCCUUCUUCGCCCCCGACACUGAGGCGACCCCUCGUACUAGCACGAUUGCCUCCCAUAUUCAAUUGCGACUGCCACUGGUGUCUUUUGUGCAGGCGGAAGGAAAUGACACAGUAGAGAAUUAUAGCAACCCUGAAGCACCACAACAACUUCCAGUUUUGGAUGAACGAUUAGGUGAAUCUUUUGCUGAAGAGACUAUGCCAUAUCCAAUUUCCUUGGAGACCACAAGAGAAUUAUAGGCUUUGUAUUUUCUUUCUGAAAAUUAUUUGGGCAAUCCUCAAAUGUUCAACUUUCAGUAACUGGUAUCCAAUGAUUAUGUGAUCUUGUCCACCAUUCUAUGUUUCUUCCUUAAUACUUAAGUAGUUUUUGAUUUUGUUGAACAUUUGGGCUGUGUAUCAAUUCAAUUGCUUCUAUAUUCUUUAUGUUUUCACCUGGAAUUUAUUUUCUCUAGUGAAAAGGUCUUAAUUUAAGCUUGUUUGAGAAUAGUAUUUGUUUUGGUCUCGGUUGAUUCGAGAUCUAUUUAUGUUGGAAAUCUUCCUUCAUCUAUCUCGACUUCAGACCUUGAGCAAGUCUUUAAGAAUUUUGGUAAAUUGAGACCAGAUGGUGUUCUUAUUAGAAGCCGGAAGGUUGAUUCCAUUUAGCUUGUUGUACUAUUUUGAUUUAGUUUUAUGCAUCUUGAUUAAUUUUUAACUCAAUAAUACAUGCAAAUUUGCAGGAGUCUGAUGUUUUUAUGCUUUCAUUGAAUAUCAAGAUGCCAUUGGUGUACAAAAUGCACUUAAGGCAUCUCCAAUACAGUUAAAUGGGAGAUUGAUUCAUGUCGAGGGGAGAAGACCUAAUAACAGUGUAUCAUGAGGAAAUACACAGUGGUAGGUGUUUUGUCCCAGUCUCAAGCCGACAAUCCUUUUUGAUCAGUAUAUCUAGUAGAAGUAAGCAUACAGAUUGUUGUCUUCGAGGCCGGCUAGCUAUUUUGUGCUUUUUUGUUUUAAAUUCGAAUGUCACUAUCUACUUUGAAACAGAACUAUUUAGUCUUUGUGUAUAGUUGAAUUUUCCUAUAAAUACUAAUACUUUGUAGUUGAAUUA